CCCUUAGAUGUCCGGGGCUGCACGCGCGCUACACUGGAAGUUACGGAUUGAGAUACUACCUUGUCCGAAAUGGUCCGGGUAAUCACCUAAAAGCUUGUCAUAAUUGGAAUGGAUUAUUGUAACUAGUAAUCCUGAACGAGGAAUUCCUAGUAAGUCCCAGUCAACAGCUGGUACUGAUUACGUCCCUGCCCUUUGUACACACCGCCCGUCGCUACUACUGAUUGGACGUUUAAGCAAGAUUUUUAAACACUGACAGUGUGUAGUUCACGCUAUACUACAGUGAGAAGAAGAAGAUCGAGCUUACUUGUCUAGAGGAAGUAAAAGUCGUAACA
rnacentral:rRNA from 1 species